GACGUAGGGCGCGAGCGUUUGUCCGGAUUUAUUGGGCGUAAAGAGCUCGUAGGCGGCUUGUCGCGUCGACUGUGAAAACCCGCGGCUCAACCGCGGGCCUGCAGCCGAUACGGGCAGGCUAGAGUUCGGUAGGGGGAGACUGGAAUUCCUGGUGUAGCGGUGAAAUGCGCAGAUAUCAGGAGGAACACCAGCGGCGAAGGCGGCGCUCUGGGCCGGUACUGACACUGAGGAGCGAAAGCGUGGGUAGCAAACAGG
rnacentral:rRNA from 1 species